AUUGAACGCUGGCGGCAGGCCUAACACAUGCAAGUCGAACGAGUGGCGGACGGGUGAGUAAUGUCUGGGAAACUGCCUGAUGGAGGGGGAUAACUACUGGAAACGGUAGCUAAUACCGCAUACCAUCGGAUGUCCCCAGAUGGGAUUAGCUAGUCGGUGGGGUAAAGGCUCACCUAGGCGACGAUCCCUAGCUGGUCUGAGAGGAUGACCAGCCAAACGGGAACUGAGGCACGGUCCAGACUCGGAAGGGGGUGAGCGGUGGGGAAGAGUGCACAAUGGGCGCAAGCCUGAUGCAGCCAUGCCGCGUGGAUGAAGAAGGCCUUCGGGUGGUAAAGGACUUUCAGCGGGGAGGCGUUAACCGCAGAAGAAGCAACGGCGGACUCCGUGCCAGCAGCCGCGGUAAUAC
rnacentral:rRNA from 1 species